rnacentral:lncRNA from 1 species
GGAGAGUUUUGAUAAACACAAGUAAAUCGAAAUGUGUCCAUUUUAGAAAAUCUAGAGCUAAACCUACAGACUUUGAAUUCAGUGUUGAAAAAAUGUUGAAAUAAACUCGAAACUGUUAAGGAGUACAAGUAUUUAGAAGUCGUGUUUACUUAUAAUGGAAACUUCUCAACGCACAUUGAAGCAUUAUCAAAGGGACCAGGAC